UCUCCGUUGGUGAACCAGCGGAGGGAUCAUUACCGAGUUAUUCUACUCCCAAACCCCUGUGAACUUAUACCUUUACUGUUGCUUCGGCGGGUUAACGCCCCGGAAGGCCCGCGAGGGCCGCCGGAACCAGGCGCCCGCCGGAGGGACCAACCAAACUCUUUCUGUAGUCCCCUCGCGGACGUUAUUUUUACAGCUCUGAGCAAAAAUUCAAAAUGAAUCAAAACUUUCAACAACGGAUCUCUUGGUUCUG
rnacentral:misc_RNA from 1 species